UACGUAGGGGGCAAGCGUUGUCCGGAAUCAUUGGGCGUAAAGAGCGUGUAGGCGGCCAGAAAAGUCCGCUGUGAAAACUCGAGGCUCAACUUCGAGCUGUCGGUGGAAACUUUCUGGCUAGAGUCCGGAAGAGGAGAAUGGAAUUCCUGGUGUAGCGGUGAAAUGCGCAGAUAUCAGGAAGAACACCAGUGGCGAAGGCGGCUCACUGGACUGGUAUUGACGCUGAGGUGCGAAAGCGUGGGGAGCAAACAGG
rnacentral:rRNA from 1 species